CUGGUUGUCCUACGUCUAAAUUUCGUUACUAUUUCUUAAUUUCCAGUUGCGUUAGUCUCGUAGUCUGUCGUCGCGCACGCGCAGAGAGCAUGCCAAACAAAACAAUAUCCCGCGAUUUAAACCUUGCCAUCCGGUCAAAAUCCCGUGAUUAUCUCCGGCUUCCUUUCUCCCUCGACAACUGCUGCCACCGACCCAGAGCACCUCCUCCCUAACCCUCCAGAUCCAGCGCCGUCCCAUCAGCGCUCUUCCUCUCAUAUGAAGCAGUGGCAAAUGACGGCGGCAGGGGCGGCACCAGACCGCUGGACGAGGGACGCCAUCCGCCACUCCUCCUCUUCUCACGCGCAUCGAGGACGCGCUCGGCGGGGGGGCAAUACCGGAAUGCUGGCCUUCAUCGGCAUCCCACGCGCAGGCGUCCUCCACCGCCGGCUACUCUCCCCCCGCCCGGCCCCCUGCUUCGCCCUCAUGGACCACCCGUCCGGCGUCCAACACCUCAAGUUGGGCACUCUAUUAAACAUGGUCUGGGUAGCACAACUGAAGACCAGUUUAGAAAAUGGAUGACCAACUGCUACUAUGGGACGUCCUCGUCGCGCUACAUAAGUUCUUUGAUUCCAUGUUUACUUUGAAAACUUGCCUUUGGAUGCAACGGAUUCUUCAGAUGACCGUUUUGUUCAAAGCACACCAUUUCCGUUUUCAGUGCAGGGAGCAUAUGGAGAAGCUACAGAGGGUACUUUCAGCAUUUUCAGAUGUUCCCUAGGAUAUAUGAUCAAGAGAAGUACAUGCUAGCCUAUCGGUUUUCAAUAGUCAAUUUUUUCAGAUGUUAUAUGAUUAUUUCCAUGGUCAUAUUCUUGCCGUUGAGCCUUGAGCGUGAUCCUGUUUGUGCCACUGGAUAACCUCUAUGUCCUAUUGUUGUCCUCGUGUUGUUUUCUUGUCAAUUUUAGUAAAUAAGUUUGUCAGCAAAUCCCCCUCUUUUCUUGUUUAGUCACUCACAUGAAUACAUGAUUGCGACUAUUAUCUGAUAAGAAUUUUAUUCCCUUACUGGUUACUACUGAUGACAUAUUUUGGCAAAUAGUACUUUGCAAUAGACAUUCAGUUUUUGAGAUUUCGUGAAUCCCUCUGCAGGUUAUAAAGCAUAACGUUGCUUAAAUAUUUAGGACACCUUUAUAGGUUCAGGCUUUCCACCAGAACAUGUUAAGUCUGCACACCUGGCACUUCAAGCAUCAGGUCUCACAAGCAUACUUUCAAAAUCAGGUCUCAGUAACUUAGUCAUGCCCUUCUUUUGUUACUAAUUAUUUUUCAGAGUUCUUACCAUGUUGUUCUUGCAAGAUCUGCACAUUUGUGUACACACUGUAGUUGUAAAAUAAAAAUGUGGAAAGUGUAAACAAAAACGCCUGAGCCAACAUUUUAUGUUUUUCCUUGUUUUAGAAUACAACAUAUUGUAACGAAAUUCUCUGUAUUGUCAGUUGUGCUGCUGGACAUUUGCAAUAGAUGAAUACUAAUUUUUCUCUCUACCUUGAAGGUUGUCAAUCCAGAAUCUUUGGUUAUCCCCAGUCUGUUAUGAGGUUUGCGCUCAUCUAUUACUCUGACAGCUUCUACUCUGACAGCUUCUACACUUGAUGGUUUGGUGCAUGGUAGAUUUCAUAUAGAGGGAAGAGCUGCACUGAGACUUGGUAGCAAAAUGAUUGGACUAUAUCUUGUUAGAGUCUUGCCUUCAAAGCUUACCAGUGAAUCCAAAAUUUCUUCGACUGCUAAGUUUUUUUAAUCGUUUUUUUAUACAAAUAUUGAUAAGAAGGUACCCAACUCCUCUAUAAUUUGUCAUGUUUGUUGUCUUUCACUUUUUCAUGCGUUCAACAACAUCUCCACAUUGUUCAUGCUAGAGGUAAUCCAGUGCCCUUAUCUUACAUUAAGCUUGCUUUUUGUGUUGAUUGGUGAUAUAAAAGAAUGAAUAUUUACUAGAUAGAGCUUAAAUUUUGAUUGCAAGCAUGGGUACUGUCAGAUGUUGUGUUAAUGAAGAUUUUAGUACUUCCUGACAAUGACAUGGUUUUACUUUUCAAGGAUCCUGGUUCGUAAAUAUUCAAGAUAUUGAAUAUUUAAAUUUCCACAAAAGCUUCAACUCUUGACUGUGACUCCAAGAUAGCUGAAGUAAAAUGAGUUCCAGAUUUGACAUAUACCAUUAAGAGUUGAGAUAUUUUCUCAUCAUCCAAAUCAUCUUAACUUGACAUGAUUCAUGCCCCUGUAACCAAUGGGAUAUGCUCCAGAUUCGACUUAUACCAUUAAGAGUUGAGAUAUUUUCUCAUCAUCCAAAUCAUCUUAACUUGACAUGAUUCAUGCCCCUGUAACCAAUGGGAUAUGUAGCUGGAUCAGCAUGCAUCUUGUUUUAGAAACUGUGUGGACAUUGAAGUGACUGCAGUGAGAGCUUACAGUACCUUAAAGCAAUUGUACUCUUCCAUGAGUUAGAGCUGCUCUCAACAAUCCACUGUUGCACUCAUAUAUAGUUAUUAUACGGAAAAAGAUCUGGGUGUGUUGUUUGAUCUUUGAACCUAACAAACAAAAUAUAUUUGUCCUAUUCUAAGUAGCUGUACUAACUUUUCAGAUAUAUGACACCCAUUAAGCAUAGACUGAAGCUGACAUACGUGGAUUUCUCAACAAGCUUGGUGCCACCUGGCUAAGUUUAGCAUGCAUCGUCGUGUUGCUAAAUUUCUAAAGUUGAUUGGACCAAUGAACAUUAACACCUCCAUACAUUUCACCACCAUGUAUUGUAAAAUAUGAAAGACAAGUAUUUUUUUUGCGUGAACAAGAAACAUGUAGUGAUGUUAUUUUGUUGUUAGAAAUCAAUAAUGGGAUGAGAUAUCCA